GAGAGUAUGGCUCUAUGGCAGAGAGCUUGCCUAAUGUGCUCAAGGCCCUGGGUUCGAUUCCCAGCACUUUCU
rnacentral:tRNA from 1 species